rnacentral:rRNA from 1 species
GACGAACGCUGGCGGCGUGCCUAAUACAUGCAAGUCGAGCGAAGUUGUUCCUUCGGGGACAGCUUAGCGGCGGACGGGUGAGUAACACGUGGGCAACCUGCCCCAGACUUCGGGAUAACGCUUCGAAAGGAGUGCUAAUACCGGAUACGAACUCCUUGGGCAUCCUUGGGGUUGGAAAGUUUUUCGGUCUGGGAUGGGCCCGCGGCCUAUCAGCUUGUUGGUGAGGUAACGGCUCACCAAGGCGCCGACGGGUAGCCGGCCUGAGAGGGCGACCGGCCACACUGGGCCUGAGACACGGCCCAGACUCCUACGGGAGGCAGCAGUGGGGAAUAUUGGACAAUGGGCGCAAGCCUGAUCCAGCCAUGCCGCGUGAGUGAUGAAGGCCUUAGGGUUGUAAAGCUCUUUCAGUAGGGAAGAUAAUGACGGUACCUACAGAAGAAGCCCCGGCUAACUUCGUGCCAGCAGCCGCCGUAAGAC